rnacentral:rRNA from 1 species
GCAGUCGAACGAACUCUGGUAUUGAUUGGUGCUUGCAUCAUGAUUUACAUUUGAGUGAGUGGCGAACUGGUGAGUAACACGUGGGAAACCUGCCCAGAAGCGGGGGAUAACACCUGGAAACAGAUGCUAAUACCGCAUAACAACUUGGACCGCAUGGUCCGAGUUUGAAAGAUGGCUUCGGCUAUCACUUUUGGAUGGUCCCGCGGCGUAUUAGCUAGAUGGUGGGGUAACGGCUCACCAUGGCAAUGAUACGUAGCCGACCUGAGAGGGUAAUCGGCCACAUUGGGACUGAGACACGGCCCAAACUCCUACGGGAGGCAGCAGUAGGGAAUCUUCCACAAUGGACGAAAGUCUGAUGGAGCAACGCCGCGUGAGUGAAGAAGGGUUUCGGCUCGUAAAACUCUGUUGUUAAAGAAGAACAUAUCUGAGAGUAACUGUUCAGGUAUUGACGGUAUUUAACCAGAAAGCCACGGCUAACUACGUGCCAGCAGCCGCGGUAAUACGUAGGUGGCAAGCGUUGUCCGGAUUUAUUGGGCGUAAAGCGAGCGCAGGCGGUUUUUUAAGUCUGAUGUGAAAGCCUUCGGCUCAACCGAAGAAGUGCAUCGGAAACUGGGAAACUUGAGUGCAGAAGAGGACAGUGGAACUCCAUGUGUAGCGGUGAAAUGCGUAGAUAUAUGGAAGAACACCAGUGGCGAAGGCGGCUGUCUGGUCUGUAACUGACGCUGAGGCUCGAAAGUAUGGGUAGCAAACAGGAUUAGAUACCCUGGUAGUCCAUACCGUAAACGAUGAAUGCUAAGUGUUGGAGGGUUUCCGCCCUUCAGUGCUGCAGCUAACGCAUUAAGCAUUCCGCCUGGGGAGUACGGCCGCAAGGCUGAAACUCAAAGGAAUUGACGGGGGCCCGCACAAGCGGUGGAGCAUGUGGUUUAAUUCGAAGCUACGCGAAGAACCUUACCAGGUCUUGACAUACUAUGCAAAUCUAAGAGAUUAGACGUUCCCUUCGGGGACAUGGAUACAGGUGGUGCAUGGUUGUCGUCAGCUCGUGUCGUGAGAUGUUGGGUUAAGUCCCGCAACGAGCGCAACCCUUAUUAUCAGUUGCCAGCAUUAAGUUGGGCACUCUGGUGAGACUGCCGGUGACAAACCGGAGGAAGGUGGGGAUGACGUCAAAUCAUCAUGCCCCUUAUGACCUGGGCUACACACGUGCUACAAUGGAUGGUACAACGAGUUGCGAACUCGCGAGAGUAAGCUAAUCUCUUAAAGCCAUUCUCAGUUCGGAUUGUAGGCUGCAACUCGCCUACAUGAAGUCGGAAUCGCUAGUAAUCGCGGAUCAGCAUGCCGCGGUGAAUACGUUCCCGGGCCUUGUACACACCGCCCGUCACACCAUGAGAGUUUGUAACACCCAAAGUCGGUGGGGUAACCUCUAGGAACCAGCC